CAAUUGCAGUUUUUUUAUUUGGUCCCAUCAUCUGCACACUUUUUUUUUUUUUUCCAUCUUUCCUUAUGUGUCCUUAGUAGCUUCCAUCACUCUUGCUCUCUCAAAGAUUGCAUUGAGGCAGAACACGUACUCACUCAAAGACAAUCUGAUUGAGACAGCAAGACUGAAACUCGAAGACGAACAAGCAGAGGAGGAGGUCGGUGAAGAAAAGAGAAGCAAAAGUAAAAGGAAAAAAACACCUAUUCGUCGGAGAUCGAAGAAAAGGAAAGGUGGGAAAGUCCAUUCUUGCCGUAGAGCUCAUGUUGGCAGUGAACCUUGAAGAAAACGAAAGG